rnacentral:rRNA from 1 species
GUCUGCAGCCACGCUCCCAUGAACAAGCCCGAUCCCGUCUGAUCUCGGAAGCUAAGCAGGGCCGGGCCUGGUUAGUACUUGGAUGGGAGACCGUCUAGGAAGACCAGGUGCUAUAGGCG